AUAGAAGCCGGGAGAGAGGCCGGCAGAGGAGCCGGCAGCAGAACCGGCAGCGGCGUUAGCGGAGGAGCCGGUUACAGACACAGGGAAAGCAGCGUCUGGCAAACGGGCGCUGGGGAUCAAAGGACGAGACUGCAGUAAAGCCUCAGAGAGGAGGUGCCAAUCAUAGCCUGGGAUUCUCCCUUAAUAUGUCAGGCGCGCAGAACGAGCCAAGUCGGAGACUUCACCAGGAGAGAAAGGAGGACACUUUGCUCUACAAUAAUGGGUCAGGAACCUAAAGGUGAAGCCACCCAGGAAGGACCCACCGCAGAAGUAUGGCAGACAGUCACCUCCAGAGCCAGGGCUACUCGUGCUACCUCAGUGUAAGCUCCCCAGGUACAGCUGGGGAACAGGUCCGAGGCCCUGGCAGCCAUGGAGAAGGAGGUAGGAGAGGAUGCUUCCGAGGGAACUGAUGCCACUCCAAGCACAGCACAGGCCAAGAGCUACUGGAACACCAUGAGGAAGAGCCGCCGGGUCCUCAUCAUCAGCGAUUCCAUCCUGAGAGGAACGGAGGGGCCCAUCUGUCGCUCUGACCCCAUGGCACGUGAGGUUUGUUGCCUGCCUGGAGCUCAGAUUCAGGACAUCACGGAGAUGAUCCUGGACCUCAUCUGACCCUCUGACCGUUACCCCAUAGUCCUCAUCCACGUGGGAACGAAUGACGCAGCCAGGGGCAACCUGGACCACAUCAUGAGAGACUACAAGGCUCUAGGAGCAAAACUCAAGGAGACAGAGGCACAGGUGUUUUUUUUCUUCUAUCGUACCAGUGAGCAGACGUGGAUGGCACCACGAGACAUUUGUCAGCAAAGUCAACCGGUGACUUCAGAGCUGGUAUUAAGAGGCAGGCCUUGGGUUCUUGGACCAUGACCUGCAUUUCCACACAGAGGACAUGCUCGGGAGGGAUGGGCUUCAUCCUCCCCAAAAGGUAAGUGUGUUUUUUCUUCCAGGUUGACUGAUCUACUACGGCGAGCUUUAAACUAGGUUCGCUGCGGGACGGGGACUCAAAGGAACACAAGAACACUUCACUGUCAAGCCAGGUGACGUGCACAGGUAGUACCCAGUUAAGUGACAGAGGCCAGGGCAGGCUUUGGAACAAGGGGGUGGCAUGGGCACCUACAGGAGACCUCAGAUGCCUCUA